UACGUAGGGUGCAAGCGUUGUCCGGAAUUAUUGGGCGUAAAGAGCUCGUAGGCGGUUUGUUGCGUCGGCUGUCGAAAUCCCGGAGGCUCAACCUCGGGUCUGCAGUCGAUACGAGCAAACUAGAGUGUUGCAGGGGAGACUGGAAUUCCUGGUGUAGCGGUGAAAGUGCGCAGAUAUCAGGAGGAACACCGGUGGCGAAGGCGGGUCUCUGGGGCCGUAACUGACGCUGGAGGAGCGAAAGCGUGGGGAGCGAACAGG
rnacentral:rRNA from 1 species